rnacentral:misc_RNA from 1 species
GGAAAAGUCUAUACCUUCAGAACUAGAGGAGAAACUUUUACCAGGACACCAUCAUUUCGAAAAGCAAAAUGAAGGACCUUCCCCAGCUGAUGUUCAUGAGUAUUUCGUUGGGGCUUAUGAGUCGAGGGUUGCCAACAUAGAGAAACUAAAACUCCUGAAGCAUGGCCUGAUAGAAGAAGAUUCUGAAGUGCAGAGUUGGCCUAAUUUAAGAGAUUCUGGUGCAACCUGGUGCCAACAGUUUACAAUUCUUUUCGGGAGAAGUCUCAAGGAGCGAAACCACGAGUAUUUCAGCAGUCUUCGGAUAACUCAAGUCAUAGCAACAGCUAUAGUUGUUGGCUUACUAUGGUGGAAUUCAGAUACUUCAUUCCCUGAAAGAAUUUCAGAUCAGGCAGGGUUGUUGUUCUUUGUUUCAGUAUUUUGGGGUUUCUUUCCACUAUUUACAGCAAUCUUCACAUUCCCACAAGAAAGGGCUAUGUUGGUUAAAGAGAGAUCAGUGAAUAUGUACAAGCUUAGUGCCUAUUUCAUAGCCAGAAUCACCACUGAUCUUCUCCUGGACCUAGUGUUGCCUGUAACAUUCUUGC